AGGACGAACGCUGGCGGCGUGCCUAACACAUGCAAGUCGAACGGAACCGGGGGCAACUCCGGUUCAGUGGCGAACGGGUGCGUAACACGUGAGGAACCUGACCAUCGGUGGGGGAUAGCCGGCCCAACGGCCGGGUAAUACCGCGUACGACCUUCGGGGGCGAUCCCCUGGAGGUGAGAGCAGCAAUGCGCCGAUGGAGGGCCUCGCGGCCUAUCAGCUAGUUGGUGAGGUAAUGGCUCACCAAGGCAACGACGGGUAGC
rnacentral:rRNA from 1 species